rnacentral:rRNA from 1 species
CCUACGGUGUGCAGCAGUGAGGAAUAUUGGUCAAUGGGCGGAAGCCUUAACCAGCCAAGUCGCGUGAGGGAUUAAGGCCCUGCGGGUCGUAAACCUCUUUUGCCGGGGAGCAGUGGUCCGGAUGCGUCCGGACUGGGAGAGUACCCGGAGAAAAAGAAUCGGCUAACUCCGUGCCAGCAGCCGCGGUAUUACGGAGGAUGCGAGAGUUAUCCGGAUUUAUUGGGUUUAAAGGGUGCGUAGGCGGGCAUUUAAGCCGGCGGUCAAAUGUCGGGGCUCAACCCCGGCCUGCCGUCGGAACUGGGUGCCUUGAGUGCGCGAGAAGUAUGCGGAAUGCGUGGUGUAGCGGUGAAAUGCAUAGAUAUCACGCAGAACUCCGAUUGCGAAGGCAGCAUACCGGCGCGCAACUGACGCUCAUGCACGAAAGCGUGGGUAUCGAACAGGAUUAGAUACCCCUGUAGUC